AACGUAGGACACAAGCGUUAUCCGGAGUUACUGGGCGUAAAGGGCGUGUAGGCGGAUCAAUAAGUCUAUUGUGAAAGCUCCUGGCUAAACUGGGAGAGGCGAAUGGAGACUGUUGGUCUAGAGUGAGGAAGAGGAAAGUGGAAUUCCGCGUGUAGUGGUGAAAUGCGUAGAGAUGCGGAGGAACACCAGUGGCGAAAGCGGCUUUCUGGUCCUUAACUGACGCUGAGGCGCGAAAGCAUGGGGAGCGAACGGG
rnacentral:rRNA from 1 species